GAUGAACGCUAGCGGCAGGCUUAACACAUGCAAGUCGAGGGGCAGCAUGCUGAUAGCUUGCUAUCAGUGAUGGCGACCGGCGCACGGGUGAGUAACGCGUAUCCAACCUGCCUGUCACUCAGGAAUAGCCCGGUGAAAACCGGAUUAAGUCCUGAUGAUAUCAUUAGAGGGCAUCUGACGAUGAUUAAAGGUUACGGUGACAGAUGGGGAUGCGUCUGAUUAGCUUGUUGGCGGGGUAACGCCCACCAAGGCAACGAUCAGUAGGGGUUCUGAGAGGAAGUCCCCCACAUUGGAACUGAGACACGGUCCAAAACUCCUACGGGAGCAGCAGUGAGGAAUAUUGGUCAAUGGACGGAAGUCUGGAACCAGGCCAAGUAGCGUGCAGGAUGACGCCUA
rnacentral:rRNA from 1 species